AUUGAACGCUAGCGGAAUGCCUUACACAUGCAAGUCGAACGGAGUGGCGAACGGGUGAGUAAUGUAUAGGAACCUGCCCAGUAGUGGGGGAUAACUACCCGAAAGCGUAGCUAAUACCGCAUACUAUUGGAGCGGCCGCGAACGGAUUAGCUAGUUGGUGGGGUAACGGCCCACCAAGGCGACGAUCCGUAGCUGGUGUGAGAGGACGACCAGCCACAAUGGGACUGAGAAACGGCCCAGACUCCUACGUGAGGCAGCAGUGGGGAAGAUUUGACAAUGGGGGAAAGCCUGAUCCAGCCAUGCCGCGUGUGCGAUGAAGGCCUUCGGAUUGUAAAGCACUUUAGGCAGGGAAGCGGUACCAACAGAAUAAGCACCGGCUAACUGCGUGCCAGCAGCCGCGGUAAUUC
rnacentral:rRNA from 1 species